GAUGAACGCUGGCGGCGUGCUUAACACAUGCAAGUCGAACGAAGCACUUUGAGAAGUUUACUUUUUAGAGUGACUGAGUGGCGGACGGGUGAGUAACGCGUGGGUAACCUGCCUUACACAGGGGGAUAACAGUUAGAAAUGACUGCUAAUACCGCAUAAAACAGCAGUACCGCAUGGUACAACUGUCAAAGAUUUAUCGGUGUAAGAUGGACCCGCGUCUGAUUAGCUAGUUGGUGGGGUAACGGCCUACCAAGGCGACGAUCAGUAGCCGACCUGAGAGGGUGACCGGCCACAUUGGGACUGAGACACGGCCCAA
rnacentral:rRNA from 1 species